UACCCUUCGGCGGGGGAUAACAGUCCGAAAGGAUUGCUAAUACCGCAUUCGUCGGCGAUUCCUGAGGGGAUUGUCGGGAAAGGUGGCCUCUUCAUGAAAGCUACCACCGGAGGAUCAGCCCGCGGCCCAUCAUGCUAGUUGGCGGUGUAAAGGACCACCAAGGCGAAGACGGGUAGCUGGUCUGAGAGGAUGAUCAGCCACACUGGAACUGAGACACGGUCCAG
rnacentral:rRNA from 1 species